UACGGGGGGAGCAAGCGUUGUUCGGAUUUACUGGGCGUAAAGGGCGCGUAGGCGGCGUGACAAGUCACUUGUGAAAUCUCCGGGCUUAACUCGGAAAGGUCAACUGAUACUGCAGGGCUAGAGUGCGGAAGGGGCAACUGGAAUUCUCGGUGUAGCGGUGAAAUGCGUAGAUAUCGAGAGGAACACCUGCGGCGAAGGCGGGUUGCUGGGCCGACACUGACGCUGAAGCGCGAAAGCUAGGGGAGCGAACGGG
rnacentral:rRNA from 1 species